GAAAAGAGCGGUCGACAAAGGCCUUUAUUUCAGCAAGAAGACCAGUCGAUUGAGCCACAUAAGGGAAAAGACUUAGUAAAUUUAAAAAUCCAUAGUCCUUGAUAGUCAGCGUCAACAACAUGUUGGAGCAGUUAGAACUCAACGUGGGUUUUAAAUAGAUAAUGUCGUGGAUGACACGUAAAGACGCUUGUGGGAACUUGAAGAUUGAACGUGGAGUAAAUAGAUAGUGUCGUGGAUGAAAUUCAAUU
rnacentral:lncRNA from 1 species